ensembl:lncRNA
UGUGAAUCUCAGAAAAUUGCUCCACCGACCACCUGGCAGCUCAGACCACAAGACUAGAAGACAGCAAGGAAGACCAGUUCAUCCAUGGUCUUAGAAAACCAAGAGUUGUCACUACUGUCAAGAGUUCAUGUUCUGCUUCUGGCUGUGGGGAACAGAGGAGCCCAGGAAGGAGUGGAAAGUAACUGGAAACUAGAGGAGCUGACAGGGCAGCCAGGUUAGAACUGGCUGUCAAUCAAGGCUGGGUUCCUGGCACAAAGCUUCUAAAACUCUUGGACUUCCCAAGUGACAGAAGUGUCUUUGCUACUCAUGAGCCCCGUGGAUCACACCUGAAUUUAUGCUAUGAGAUGACUCAAGAUACCCUGAAAGAGAAGAGAUUGAUUUUUUUUUUAGUGUCAGGCACUGAAGUGUAUGAGUUGCAAUGAGUCGGCAGCAUCCUUCCGAAGAUGCCUGACUUCUGAUGCCUGACACUGAACACUCUUAUCACCUCUGUCUUCAAAGUUUGGCUUCCAGACCUUUGGAUUAUGCCUGAAAACUGUUAGCUUAGGUUCUGUAGUUUCUGCCUUCACCUCUUGGCUUACAAACAAUUGCCUCUGAUGUAGUGGAAACUUUAAUAUUCAGCUUUCCUAUCUCAGCUCCACUCCUACCCAGCCCUCGCUGGGUUUUAAUUUUAUUAACCUGGUCCCAUUAGUGUCUACCUCCAUAGGGAUGGAGGUACCUUCGUGCCUAUAGUCUGAAUUUUUCCCUUCAGUGAAAAACAAAGAUUCCUUGCUACACAAUCUUUAAUAUCAGUGCCUUAGGACUUCCCAGUGUCUUCAAUCUUCAAUACCUCUUAUAUUACUAGGCUAUCAUUCUCUCUAGAUGUUUGGUAUUCCUGUACUUGAAUGAUGCAGGAGAUAUAUUUGCUCUCCUCUCAGUCCUUUAGUGUGUUUUGGCAAGGAUUCAGCAAAAGCUUCUGUUACCCAUUUAACAUAUUGAAGGAAAUACUUUUAGAUAAGGAGGAGCCAAAUUUCUGGAAUCUUCUGUCUACUUAUGUAUGCAGAGAACCACAGGCCCUUCUGAUGUCCUGCUCAUUAUUGAAUGUUUCUGUACCAUUUACUCCUUGGAGCUGCUUAUCUCAUUUUUGAAUGUGCCAUAUUUUGAAACAUUCCUUUAAAAUAUUUUAUUUAUCACUGUCAAAUGUUUGAAAUGCACGAAGUCCUCAAAAUGUAAACAUAAGAACAAAC